CGUUAUCCGGGUUGCGGACAGUGUCUGGUGGGUAGUUUGACUGGGGCGGUCUCCUCCUAAAGAGUAACGGAGGAGCACGAAGGUUGGCUAAUCCUGGUCGGACAUCAGGAGGUUAGUGCAAUGGCAUAAGCCAGCUUGACUGCGAGCGUGACGGCGCGAGCAGGUGCGAAAGCAGGUCAUAGUGAUCCGGUGGUUCUGAAUGGAAGGGCCAUCGCUCAACGGAUAAAAGGUACUCCGGGGAUAACAGGCUGAUACCGCCCAAGAGUUCAUAUCGACGGCGGUGUUUGGCACCUCGAUGUCGGCUCAUCACAUCCUGGGGCUGAAGUAGGUCCCAAGGGUAUGGCUGUUCGCCAUUUAAAGUGGUACGCGAGCUGGGUUUAGAACGUCGUGAGACAGUUCGGUCCCUAUCUGCCGUGGGCGCUGGAGAACUGAGGGGGGCUGCUCCUAGUACGAGAGGACCGGAGUGGACGCAUCACUGGUGUUCGGGUUGUCAUGCCAAUGGCACUGCCCGGUAGCUAAAUGCGGAAGAGAUAAGUGCUGAAAGCAUCUAAGCACGAAACUUGCCCCGAGAUGAGUUCUCCCUGACUCCCUGAGAGUCCUGAAGGAACGUUGAAGACGACGACGUUGAUAGGCCGGGUGUGUAAGCGCAGCGAUGCGUUGAGCUAACCGGUACUAAUGAACCGUGAGG
rnacentral:rRNA from 1 species